rnacentral:rRNA from 1 species
GACGAACGCUGGCGGCGUGCUUAACACAUGCAAGUCGAACGGAAAGGCCCUGCUUUUGUGGGGUGCUCGAGUGGCGAACGGGUGAGUAACACGUGAGUAACCUGCCCUUGACUUUGGGAUAACUUCAGGAAACUGGGGCUAAUACCGGAUAGGAGCUCCUGCUGCAUGGUGGGGGUUGGAAAGUUUCGGCGGUUGGGGAUGGACUCGCGGCUUAUCAGCUUGUUGGUGGGGUAGUGGCUUACCAAGGCUUUGACGGGUAGCCGGCCUGAGAGGGUGACCGGCCACAAUGGGACUGAGAUACGGCCCAGACUCCUACGGGAGGCAGCAGUGGGGAAUAUUGCACAAUGGGCGGAAGCCUGAUGCAGCAACGCCGCGUGCGGGAUGACGGCCUUCGGGUUGUAAACCGCUUUCGCCUGUGACGAAGCGUGAGUGACGGUAAUGGGUAAGGAAGCACCGGCUAACUACGCG